UCUCUCGUGGCUUAGUGGUUAGAGCAUUGACACGUUAAACUAAAGGUCCCGAGUUCGAUUCUCGGCGAGGGUG
rnacentral:tRNA from 1 species